rnacentral:tRNA from 1 species
AGGUCUUUAUCUUAAGGGUAGAGAAUUGUGUUUACACCACGAAGGUUGAAGGUUCGAUUCCUUUAAGACCUA